rnacentral:siRNA from 1 species
GUAAUCCGACCUAACUACUUGAA